GCAAUGCCCGAAAGGGUGACUAUGCGACGCCGCGUGAGCGGUGAAGUCCUUCGGGACGUAAAGCUCUGUCAGGUGGGAUGAAUUUUCGACCUUAACAGGUUGGAAUUUGACCGUACCACCAGAGGAAGCCACGGCUAACUCCGUGCCAGCAGCCGCGGUAAUACGGAGGUGGCAAGCGUUGUUCGGAUUUAUUGGGUGUAAAGGGCAUGGUAGGUGUCCUAGUAAGUCCUGGCUGAAAUCCUUCGGCUCGAACCGAAGAACGUGUCAGGAAACUGCUGGGAUUGAGUACGGAAGAGGAGAACGGAAUUCCCCGGUGUAAAGGGUGAAAAGUCU
rnacentral:rRNA from 1 species